UUCCUCUAUCAACUCAUAUAUAAGUUUAUUAUGAAUAAUUCCUAAUAGGUUAUAACAGAUAAGCUUUCCACAGUAUUAUAUAAUUUCUAUUGUGGAUAAUACAUGGCCUACGUGCACAAGGGUAAUAUAAAUACGCUCAACCAUUCGAGAUUUCUAAAUCUAUUGUUUACAGAAUGUAACUUUGAACGUGCGUUUCAUCUAUUCUUCUCACCCUUUAACUUAUACAGACUACGAAAUAAAAUAUAAAGUGGUAUUACGUCUAAUAUGGGAGGAAUUGUAAGUUACCUAUUUAGUUUUUGGAACCAAGAAGAUACAUUGGACGAAUCAACGGGACUGCGUCUUUCGCAAAAGCGUCAUAUUGUUUCUAGUUGGUCAAUAAUUGAAAAAGAUCUAAAAGGAAAUGGUGUAGAACUAUUUAUAACCUUAUUCACAAUGUAUCCAGAAACUCAGAAUAUGUUUAAACGGCUCAAGAACAAAUCUGUAGAAGAGUUAAGGAAGAGUGCUGCAUUAAGGGCUCAUGGUCUUGAUUUUAAUCGAAUGCUUUCAGCGUUUGUCGAGAACCUAGACGAUGUUGAAUGCUUGGUUAACCUAAUACAAAAAGUUGUUCUUUCUCAUCUACCAAGAAAAAUUGGUCCAGACGAAUAUUUAGUUGUUGCGAAAGUUUUUCACGCCUUUAUGAAAAUGAAAAUUGGCUCUCUCUACACCCCAGCUGUACAAGAAUCUUGGGAUAUUGUAUUCGGAGUUAUUCAUAAGAUAUCCGUUGACGAGUUGAAGAAAUAUAAUAAGGAUCAAUAGAUUACGAAGAGAUUAAAGAAUAUUGCUUAAGAGACCAACUAGAGUGAAAUGAAUGAUGUUUUUAACAAGCUUGCCCUGUGACUCUUUUUAUUUUCCGUUUUAUUUCAAAAAUGUUAACUUAGUAAUUAACUAAUUAAUUACACUCCUAGCCAAUUGAACUAGUAGUUUACGUACACAUGCACACAUACACACUAAUAGUACACUAAUAUAUAUUAAUAACUUUGUUUAAUGUCAAUGUUUUUGUACUUUAUAUAUUGUUAUUUAUAUAUAUAACAUCAAUGCUAAUUCAUAGGUGUUUUUUUAUAGAGUAGAUUUAUUAAAUACAAUUUUAAAUAAACUCUC
rnacentral:misc_RNA from 1 species